rnacentral:ribozyme from 1 species
AAACCAGCAAUAAAGGCUAGCGAUUGACUCUUGUUCUUCUAUUUUUGUUCAUAUAUUUAUUUUUUAUUUGAUUUUUUUUUAUUAUUAAAAAAAAAAAAAAAAAAUCGAUUCAGUUCAGUAUGCGUACGUAUACGUAAAAAAAAAAAAAAAAACAACUUAAAU